ACGCCGGCGGCGUGCCUAAUACAUGCAAGUCGAGCGAACGGACGAGAAGCUUGCUUCUCUGAUGUUAGCGGCGGACGGGUGAGUAACACGUGGAUAACCUACCUAUAAGACUGGGAUAACUUCGGGAAACCGGAGCUAAUACCGGAUAAUAUUUUGAACCGCAUGGUUCAAAAGUGAAAGACGGUCUUGCUGUCACUUAUAGAUGGAUCCGCGCUGCAUUAGCUAGUUGGUAAGGUAACGGCUUACCAAGGCAACGAUGCAUAGCCGACCUGAGAGGGUGAUCGGCCACACUGGAACUGAGACACGGUCCAGACUCCUACGGGAGGCAGCAGUAGGGAAUCUUCCGCAAUGGGCGAAAGCCUGACGGAGCAACGCCGCGUGAGUGAUGAAGGUCUUCGGAUCGUAAAACUCUGUUAUUAGGGAAGAACAUAUGUGUAAGUAACUGUGCACAUCUUGACGGUACCUAAUCAGAAAGCCACGGCUAACUACGUGCCAGCAGCCGCGGUAAUACGUAGGUGGCAAGCGUUAUCCGGAAUUAUUGGGCGUAAAGCGCGCGUAGGCGGUUUUUUAAGUCUGAUGUGAAAGCCCACGGCUCAACCGUGGAGGGUCAUUGGAAACUGGAAAACUUGAGUGCAGAAGAGGAAAGUGGAAUUCCAUGUGUAGCGGUGAAAUGCGCAGAGAUAGGAGGAACACCAGUGGCGAAGGCGGACUUUCUGGUCUGUAACUGACGCUGAUGUGCGAAAGCGGGGG
rnacentral:rRNA from 1 species